UUCCCACCGCAACCUGGACACCGCCCCGCGCCGCGCCGCGGGAGCUGCAGCCCAGCUGGGGGCAAGGUCACGGUCACGGUCACGCUCCGCGCGGGGGGAGGGGAGGGGCCCGCAGCCGGCCCCACCCAGCGGCCUCUCCCCAGCCCCCAGCCCCGGGGAGGGGCGCCGGCGCGGGCACGCGGGUGAGUCCGGAUCCUCCCGGGCCCGCGGAGGCCACGCGGGGACUGCCACCCGCCUCCCAGGGGCGCGCGGUCCGCGCUGACCAAGGCGGGACUCGCGCCACGGUGGCCCCCGCUCCCCCGUGACGACCCCGCACCCUAAAACAGGAACGGCCUGCUGGGGACCCGAACUGCAGCUCGGCUACCCAGAACUCACCUUUUCAGCAAACUCCACCGAACCGAACACAACCAAGAACUGGUUGGGAAGCAGAAAAACCUGUCGUGGGAACAGGGAUUUCUAAAGCCAGGCGUGAAAAGCGGUGGAAACCAUGGUGCCUGCGUUCCUGCCAGGAGAGUUACUUCUUCAGUUACGCUACUGCAUAAAAAAUCAUCAGUUGAUUGUUAUGCUCAGGAUCUGGACAAAAGAGUACUUUAAAGCUUGCCAAUCAAAGAUGGCUAAGUAGGACACAGACAGCAGGCGGAACACGGGCGGCGAGGCCACGGCAGCACGCGUAACUCUGGAAUGCACAGCUGCACUGCGCAGCACGGCUGGGAAGGGCCGGGGCUGGCCCAGUCAGCCCAGCCCGCCCUCAGUCCUGGCGCCUUCAGCACUGGCCGGCUGCCGAGCCCUGCACCUGGAGUCUUGAGGUGUAUGAAGAUGAAGAUCUGGUCCUUCUCAGGAAGGUCACCGUCCAGAGGAGGUUAAGGAAUACACGCUAUGGAGUAGAAAGAGCCCCGAUGUGAAGGCUGCUAUCAGAAUUCAAUUUCAUAGCACCACUCUGAGCAACUGUUUCAUUUUCUG